GCGGCGGGUGUGAGAGUCGGUGUUGUGAGCCGCUUCCAGGAUCCUGCGAUCCGGAGAAGCCGGGGUCUGAGCGGGUAGGUGAGCGAAAGCGGGGAGUCCGGAGCCCAAGCCGAGCUUUCCCACAGCUCGGCCGCUUCCGCAGCUCCCGCACUUGGGUGAUGCAGACGCAGAACACGCUGGUUUCCACUUGAGAUGGCUCAGGUCACUGCUGACUGGCUGUGUCAGCUGGCGGUGGCCAGGUUAUGUGGGACACCUCUCCGCGCUUGGUUACCGGGACAUUGAACCCAGACACUCGCGACAGUUCGUUCCAGACCUGGAAGCCGGCUUUGGCUUUCUCAGAGAACCUCACUCCCGAGCUGUCCAGAGCCUUGGGUUAAAUGAAGAGGGUCUUCGCUGCUGCUGAUUCUCAGGACCUUUCAAUGGGUUUUUCUCCUCCCGGGCCACUAGCGCAGUAUGCUAAGUAUAUCUCCGAGAAACGAAGGUAUUCGGGUGUACCGACAGUGCAGAGUAGUCAAAGGAAGGGGUCAUUACCUCUCAGAGUUAUUGCUGUGGACCCACUCAGCUUUUCCUAGGACUGUCAUUU
rnacentral:lncRNA from 1 species